ensembl:lncRNA
GUCUUAAACUGUGACAGGAGAGGUUUAGGUUAGAUAUUAGGAGGAAGUUUUUCACACAGAGGGUGGUGAUGCACUGGAACAGGUUGCCCAAGGAGAGGGUGGUGAUGCACUGGAACAGGUUGCCCAAGGAGGCUGUGGAUGCCCCAUCCCUGGAGGCAUUCGAGGCCAGGCUGGAUGUGGCUCUGGGCAGCCUGGUCUGCUGGUUGGCGACCCUGCACAUAGCAGGGGGGUUGAAACUCGAUGAUCAUUGUGGUCCUUUUCAACCCAGGCCAUUCUGUGAUUCUAUGAAUCAGUCUUAUCAUUGUGGGAAGCUAUGUUAGUGCAGGAACAAAAUUCUCUGAGAUGCCCUUGGCUCCUAGCAGGUUUCCCUUACAGAACCUGCCCCUCACUUGCACUGUGACUUCCAUAACUCGUCUCAGCUCAGCACCACAAGACAAAUUUUGGACAUUCACAGUCAGCUGAGAGAAUAAGCAAAACACAAAGUAAUUGUG